rnacentral:rRNA from 1 species
AGGGUGUAAACGCUGCAGACUUGGUGUUGGGAACCCUUCGGGGGUGCUCAGUGCCGGAGAGAAGUUGUUAAGUCUGCUACUUGGGGAGUACGUCCGCAAGGAUGAAACUUAAAGGAAUUGGCGGGGGGAGCACCGCAACGGGAGGAGCGUGCGGUUUAAUUGGAUUCAACGCCGAAAAACUCACCAGCAGCGACUGUUACAUGAAAGUCAGGUUGAUGACCUUACUAGAUUUUCAGAGAGGUGGUGCAUGGCGUCAGUGACU